UAAGAGGCGCAAGGCUUAUCAGUACGGGUCGCAUAUCGGAUUGAAGCGACGAAGGAAAGGAAGUUUUGCCGAAACGGCGGUUUUUAUCCGGAAAAUCUCCGUUGGGCUGCAGGGAAAUACGUUGCAGACUGUCGCAGGGAAACUUGCGGAGCGCUUG
rnacentral:ncRNA from 2 species